rnacentral:rRNA from 1 species
GGGGAGUGAAAUAGAACCUGAAACCGUGUACGUACAAGCAGUAGGAGCAGGCUUUGUCCUGUGACUGCGUACCUUUUGUAUAAUGGGUCAGCGACUUAUAUUCAGUGGCAAGGUUAACCAUCUAGGGGAGCCGUAGGGAAACCGAGUCUUAACUGGGCGUUCAGUCUCUGGAUAUAGACCCGAAACCAGGUGAUCUAGCCAUGGGCAGGUUGAAGGUUGAGUAACAUCAACUGGAGGACCGAACCGACUAAUGUUGAAAAAUUAGCGGAUGACUUGUGGCUAGGGGUGAAAGGCCAAUCAAACCUGGAGAUAGCUGGUUCUCCCCGAAAGCUAUUUAGGUAGCGCCUCGGACGAAUACUACUGGGGGUAGAGCACUGUUAAGGCUAGGGGGUCAUCCCGACUUACCAACCCUUUGCAAACUCCGAAUACCAGUAAGUACUAUCCGGGAGUACACACGGCGGGUGCUAACGUCCGUCGUGGAGAGGGAAACAACCCAGACCGCCAGCUAAGGUCCCAAAUUACUACUAAGUGGGAAACGAUAGUGGGAAGGCUCAGACAGCCAGGAUGUUGGCUUAGAAGCAGCCAUCAUUUAAAGAAAGCGUAAUAGCUCACUGGUCGAGUCGGCCUGCGCGGAAGAUGUAACGGGGCUAAGUAGUAAACCGAAGCUGCGGCAAUGUGCUUUUGCACAUUGGGUAGGGGAGCGUUCUGUAAGCGGUUGAAGGUGUGUGGUAACGCAUGCUGGACGUAUCAGAAGUGCGAAUGCUGACAUGAGUAACGAUAAAGGGGGUGAAAAACCUCCUCGCCGGAAGACCAAGGGUUCCUGUCCAACGUUAAUCGGGGCAGGGUAAGUCGACCCCUAAGGCGAGGCCGAAAGGCGUAGUCGAUGGGAAACGGGUUAAUAUUCCCGUACUUCUUACAAUUGCGAUGGGGGGACGGAGAAGGCUAGGUGGGCCUGGCGACGGUUGUCCAGGUUCAAGUGCGUAGGCUUAAGAGUUAGGUAAAUCCGGCUCUUUUUAAGGCUGAGACACGACGUCGAGCAUCUACGGAUGUGAAGUCAUUGAUGCCAUGCUUCCAGGAAAAGCCUCUAAGCUUCAGAUUGUAAGGAAUCGUACCCCAAACCGACACAGGUGGUCGGGUAGAGAAUACCAAGGCGCUUGAGAGAACUCGGGUGAAGGAACUAGGCAAAAUGGUACCGUAACUUCGGGAGAAGGUACGCUCUCGACGGUGAAGUCCCUCGCGGAUGGAGCUAUUGAGAGUCGCAGAUACCAGGUGGCUGCAACUGUUUAUUAAAAACACAGCACUGUGCAAAAUCGUAAGAUGACGUAUACGGUGUGACGCCUGCCCGGUGCCGGAAGGUUAAUUGAUGGGGUUAGACUUCGGUCGAAGCUCUUGAUCGAAGCCCCGGUAAACGGCGGCCGUAACUAUAACGGUCCUAAGGUAGCGAAAUUCCUUGUCGGGUAAGUUCCGACCUGCACGAAUGGCGUAAUGAUGGCCACGCUGUCUCCACCCGAGACUCAGUGAAAUUGAAAUCGCUGUGAAGAUGCAGUGUACCCGCGGCUAGACGGAAAGACCCCGUGAACCUUUACUACAGCUUGGCACUGAACAUUGACCCUACAUGUGUAGGAUAGGUGGGAGGCUUUGAAGCACGUACGCCAGUAUGUGUGGAGCCGUCCUUGAAAUACCACCCUUGUAGUGUUGAUGUUCUAACGUCGACCCCUUAUCGGGGUUGCGGACAGUGCCUGGUGGGUAGUUUGACUGGGGCGGUCUCCUCCCAAAGAGUAACGGAGGAGCACGAAGGUGGGCUAAUCACGGUUGGACAUCGUGAGGUUAGUGCAAUGGCAUAAGCCCGCUUGACUGCGAGAAUGACAAUUCGAGCAGGUGCGAAAGCAGGUCAUAGUGAUCCGGUGGUUCUGAAUGGAAGGGCCAUCGCUCAACGGAUAAAAGGUACUCCGGGGAUAACAGGCUGAUACCGCCCAAGAGUUCAUAUCGACGGCGGUGUUUGGCACCUCGAUGUCGGCUCAUCACAUCCUGGGGCUGAAGUCGGUCCCAAGGGUAUGGCUGUUCGCCAUUUAAAGUGGUACGCGAGCUGGGUUUAGAACGUCGUGAGACAGUUCGGUCCCUAUCUGCCGUGGGCGUUGGAAGAUUGAAGGGGGCUGCUCCUAGUACGAGAGGACCGGAGUGGACGAACCUCUGGUGUUCGGGUUGUGUCGCCAGACGCAUUGCCCGGUAGCUAAGUUCGGAAUCGAUAACCGCUGAAAGCAUCUAAGCGGGAAGCGAGCCCUGAGAUGAGUCUUCCCUGAUACUUUAAGUAUCCUAAAGGGUUGUCGGAGACUACGACGUUGAUAGGCAGGUGUGUAAGUGCUGUGAGGCAUUGAGCUAACUGAUACUAAUUGCCCGUGAGGCUUAACCAUACAACACCUAAGGGGUUU